UACGAAGGGGGCUAGCGUUGUUCGGAUUUACUGGGCGUAAAGCGCACGUCGGCGGGUCGUUAAGUCGGGGGUGAAAUCCUGGAGCUCAACUCCAGAACUGCCUUCGAUACUGGCGACCUAGAGUCCGGAAGAGGUGAGUGGAACUGCGAGUGUAGAGGUGAAAUUCGUAGAUAUUCGCAAGAACACCAGUGGCGAAGGCGGCUCACUGGCCCGAUACUGACGCUGAGGCACGAAAGCGUGGGGAGCAAACAGG
rnacentral:rRNA from 1 species